rnacentral:lncRNA from 1 species
CGCAUGGCAUGACGGGCUGCAGGUCCCGAGCCCUGCCGCGCGGGAGGCGGCUGAGGCCCCGUGAGAAUUCGAGCGCCGCAGGGGCAGGCUGGCAGUGCUGGGGGACCCGGUGCACUCUCCGCAGCUGCUGGCUCGGGUGCUAAGCCCCUCACUGCCUCGGGCCAGCGGUGCCGACCCGCCGCUCCAAGUGCGGGGCGGGCGGAGCCCGCGCCCACCUGGAACUCGCGCGGGCCCGCCAGCGCCAACCGCAGCCGCGGUUCCCGCCCGCGCCUCUCCCUCCACACCUCCCCGCAAGCAGAGGGAGCCGGCUCCGGCCUUGGCCAGCCCAGAGACAGGCUCCCACAGUGCAGCGGCGGGCUGAAGGGCUCCUCAAGCACUGCCAGAGUGGACACCGAGGCCGAGGAGACGCCAAGAGCGAUGAAACAAGCUUCUGGUUCAAGAGUUUCUUCAGGUUCCACUACGGGCUGUUCUUCUACAGGUGCGCCGAUGUCCACAGUGCUACCUUCUGAUGAGCUACUGCUUUCAUUCAGUUUCUGAGUGAUGGUGAGGAGGAAUUGUGCCAGCUUGCUUCUUCACUGCCAUUUUGGAACCAGAACUCAGAACCUGAGAAAGAUGAAUGAAAUUUAGUGUUUCCCAUCCCCGAGAGACACCCAGCAUCCACAACUUCACACUCUGAUGCCAUUGUGUAUUUAUGCAAGAAAUACCAUAACUAAGGUAAUGUCUUGAGAUUUUUUGGUUCAAUAAUGUCCUUAAAUUCUAUGUUGUUUUUAAAGCCUAAAAGAAAU